UAGCUCCCACUUGCACCACCCCGCAUAGGAUAGGCCACGCCAAUAUUCCACGCCCAAACACACGCGCAGACCGGCGAGCGAUAGCUGAUAGCCCCGGCCGUCGACGACCCAAGCGCGCCACCCCGUCGACCGAUCUACCAGUACGUGUCCGGUCGCCCCUCGCCGCAUGCAGCUGUGCCGGAAGGGGGCUUAUUUUUGCUAACUGCACGACAUGAGGAGGUUCUUGCCGGCGGGAGUAGGGGAGCCCUCAUCCUCCUCCUCGUCGGGUCCGCACGGGAAGCACGAGGGCAGCGAGGCCGCCGCUGCUGGCGGCGGUCUGCGCUACGGAGGGGGAGACAUCUCGCUGGGGCGCGGCAACGACCUCCUCCACGGCCAGUUCCGCGGAGGCGAGGGGGAGAUGAAGGACGACGGAGCGGACAUGCUGGCCCGGCACAGCAGCUCGCCGGCGGGGUUCUUCUCCAACCUCAUGGUGGAUGACGGAUAUCAUGGCUCGAGAGGCGCCGGAGUAGCUGGUGGCAGCAGCGGCGGCGAAGCCCACCGUCACGCCAGUAGCAGCACGAAGAUGAAGUCCCAGCUGAGCUUCACGGCCGGCGGACAACAGACCACUGCCCACCUCUCGCGUAUCUCCGAGGGCGCCUCCUUAUUCCCCAGCGCCGACGCCGUCCGCGCUGCCGCGCACUCGGGCAGCGAGCACCCCGUGUCGCGUUCCUUCUCGGCCAGCGGCAGUAGCGGGGGCUUCUCCAUCGUAGGGCCGUGGGAUGAGUCGAGGGAGAUCAUCGGCACCCUCGAUCUCGGCGGUUACGAGUCUCAGUUCAGUGGCAUGGCGAGCUCGUCGUCGCUGGAGCUGGCGGGGAUGGACAAGUACAUGCAGGCGCAGCAGCAGCAGGACCAGGUGGCGUUCAAGGUGCGGGCCAAGCGCGGCUGCGCGACGCACCCGAGGAGCAUCGCCGAGAGGGAGCGGAGGACGAGGAUCAGCGACAAGCUCAGGAAGCUGCAGGACCUAGUGCCCAACAUGGACAAGCAAACGAGCACCUCGGACAUGUUGGACCUCGCGGUGGAGCACAUCAAGGGCCUCCAGAGCCAGCUGCAGGCCAUGAAGCACGAGCAGGACAAAUGCACCUGCUGCAACAAGCCUUGAGCAAUUAAGCAGAGGACCAAGGACUGAUCAGCACAACGCAAAGAAUGACACCACCCUUACUCGAGAGAAAUGUACAUGCAUGCAUGGGUAAUACUAUUGAUCCAACAUGAUGCAUGAAUUAGUGCAUGCCAAUGCUAAAUGAGUACAUGGAGCUCAACGGUUCAUACUUUAUUCAAGGCGGCAAGGAACUGGCAGCCGUUCUGAUGGACCCUUCAACUUGUUCCCAGUCUUUGGCCAUAAUUAUCUUGAAGCAGGUGGCUAGUAGAUCAGCCAUUGGCUCUCUUCGUAGCAUAUAGACGUGUGCGAAGUGAAAAGAAUAAAACCACCACAUCCCUGGGGUCAUAUGCAAAAAAAACACCACAAUACACACAACCUGCAAAAACCACCGAACGCAAGAAGAGAUCAAUGCAUGGUUCAAACAGAGGUAAUUUUAUGCAACUCUACACAGAUUCUACGGAUAGAAAACAUCAUCUACUAGUUGAGAUACCUUAAUCGAGAAUAUGAUGGAAAAACUAAAGGAUUUUACAAGGAGAAUCGGAUCAGAUCGACGCAUACCAAAGGAGGAAACCAUCCUUGAGAAACUGAGCCGAGGAAGAGACCUGCAAGGCACGGGAUCGAUAGAAAAAUGGUAGAGGCGACGACGACGGUGGCGUGAGACACCAAGGGUGUGAGGGUAAUAGGUGAGAGUGGGAACCCUAACCCCCACGCGCCCCGUAUCAAAGGGCACUUGGAACCGCUACCCCGUGCGCAUGGGCUAAAGUUGCCAGGGGCAUGGGGUCCCGUGCACGCGGUAUAGAGCCUGUGGGCACGGGGUGUCCAGUUGAUUUUGACAACAAAUGCAAGAAAUGGCACAUGGCUGGUUAGAACUAGCUAUCCUUACAAAGUGUCAUGCUGCAAGGUCAUCUCACUUCUGAACAUCAUCACAAAAGAAAUCCAAUACUACUUGAAAGGUGCAUGUGGAGCACUUGCAUAGACUGAAAAACAUGCCUUAUGAUGAGAAUAGAUUGAAAAGCAUGCCUUAUGAUGAGAAUGGAAUAUGAUAGAUCCGCACUAAAGCCAAUAUAGAUAUCAUAUACACUCAUUUUUGCAACAACAAAAUAGAAAACCCAAAAAUUGAGUGCACCAUCAUACUUUAGCAUAUAAUGACAUAAAGGUCUAAAAUACCCAGAUAAGUAACAAAUAAACAUCCAACACUAGUGCAGGGACGUCCUAUGCAAACGGUUUUUACCCCCUUUCGGUGACACAAUUUUAAACCGUCGCCUUGCUAACAUGGGCGAUAGGGGGUCCAUCCCACACGACCCAGAUAAAUCGUCGGCGAUAGCACACACUCGGAGCAAAAGAGCUCGUGUGCAAUCGGGUGAGCUGUCAUGAACAAUUGUGCGGGACAAAAUCAUGUGACAUGUGCUUAGCAUCCCACACAAUGAAUUCCGAACAAAAUUUUCCGUUGGUAUGGUGCAUCACACACAAUUUUUUGCAUAAACUCGUCUGUGAUAGGGGCGGCAAACGUUUUUUCUGUGUAUAUCGUUUGCGUUAUUCAAGUACAACACAAACAUGCCUACCUAGAAGAAACUAUAUGAAAUAAUGCUGCCCAUUACACACAUUUUUCCCAUGGAAAUGUUUGUGCAAGGUGGCCUAACGCAAUAGUUGACUGAAACGUCGUGUGUGGUUGUUCAUUGAUCUCACAUGUCUAGUUCUAGAAACUGUAGGGGUUGUCUGAGGUCAUCGGCCACGAAGUUGUAUGAGUAGCCAUCUGCAGUAUAAAAACCCAAUAAGUAGGCUAAUUAGCCCAUUACUUUUUAUACAUUUAGUAAUCAAAUUGACAUUUCAUAUCAAACACACAAUAUAUUUCAUAUUCAUGUAACGGCAACCCGGAUUUCAUAAUAGAAAUACAUCUGGGUACACAAUCACAUAGCUAGUUCGGCACUCAGUUACACCAUAUAGCUAGUUCACACCCCAUUACACAACAGCAACAAGUUUCACAUGCAACAUCUAAAACCUUUAAAAUGUAGCAUCAUAGAUGGUAAAUAGACAGAUAUAUCUCGUCUUGAAAAUUGCUGAAGUGGAAGGUGAAUACAUAUUGAGCCUUUAACGAUGUUGAAGGUCCUUGCAACUUUAGGCUUGUGGAUGUGGAUGAUUGCCCUCCCGUCCUUCGUCAUCUUGAGGAAGACUUCAAUAUUAUAUCGUGAAUGUUGUAUGAAUACCUUCCUCACCUCUUGACCAUACCGGUGGUUUGAGAGGUAACCAUCAGUGAACUGCUUUGAAAAGGACUGAAAACAAAGAUAUGAAUAAAUAUCUUCUCUAAAUCUUGAAAUGGCGCAUAGGAAAAAAACAAAGUAAAAGAGUUAGUACCAUCCUAUAGUUGAUUGAUGUCUUCUUCAUUGUGCAGACAAAGAUCUUGCUAUUUUUCGACGCUAGUUUCUUUAUCCUAACAAUCUUUCUGAAUUUCUCGACUUCACUGAUAUUUAUGGACAUCUCAUUUCCCCCAUACACAAAUUGGGUCGAACGAUGGGUCUAAACCUCUGACAACAGGACCUACAUAUGCGAGACCAAAUUAUUGAAAACUUAAAUAUUAGAACGGUUCCUGCAGUUGCACAAUAAUGUGCUAUUAGCCAAAGGAUCAUGUGUAAACCUCAAUGGUAAGCCUCAGUGUCUCCCAUUGUUACGCAGCAACAUAUGGUAGAUAUUGACCAGGUUAAGUGAGAAUUGGCAUACUAUCAAUAAAACAUGUUAGUGCAAAAUAAACACACCGCAGAUGCGACAGAUUAAUCUGAGCCACACGGAAAAGCCAGUAAACCAAAUCAAGCAUGCUUAACAACUAGUAUAUCGUAAUUGUAUAUGUUUCUUAUGUAUUUAGUAUAGCCAAAUUUGAUUUAUUUUCCACAUACAUAACACUAGAAAAUUGUACACACAACAAUUGAACAACACAUUGCAGAAUUGAACCAAACAGUUAACUAAACACCACAACAAAUAAACCAAAUAGUUAACUGAGCACCACAUUGCACAAUAGAACAUACUAGAAGAUCGUAUUGCAUAGUAACACUACAUUGGACAAUUGGCUAAAAAAUUCUAAAGGAAAUGUCGACAUUUUGGGAACGGGGGUACCCAUACUUGCCUGCCUGCGGCCCGCGGAGUGGCUCCAUUGACGGCCUGGAACGGCCCAUCUUCAGCAUCAACAACACAAGACCCUCGCGAGGCAGACGUGCCAAGACCUCCAGAAGGAGCGGCCUCCUCAAGCUGGCUCCUGAGGAGCGGAGAUUUCUAUGCAAGCCUUCACCUCGUGAGGUUUGGAUGACGUGAGAAGUGACGACCAAGGCCAGGCGGGCGCAGUACAACAGUUUCCUCUUUGGUGUAAGGAGGCAAGAGCAGGCGUGGAGUCCCGAGGAAUCAGCCAAAGGUUUCCAUUUUCAUGCAACAAGACCAAGACCGCCAGGACGGCAGGACAGAGGUCAUCGCCGAGCCCACCACGGCGUCACGACCAGAGGCUUUGCAGGCGAAGACCACCUUUUGUCAGGAUAGGAUGUACCAGUUGUCUCCCUUCGAAUUUGGCCGUUGUGGUAUCCCUUCCCGCCUCCGUUUUGGGGAAGAGGACCAAGGCCACUAUAAAUAGGGCCUAGCCACCACCGUAGAAGGGACGGAUCAUUCAUCAGCUCACCAGCUCACCCAAACACAAGAACACACCUCCUGAGGUUGUUCUCCCACUGUACUAGUUCAUCCUCAGCCCACCUCGAGGCCAAUCCACCACAAAGCAGGAGUAGGGUUUUACACCACAAGGUGGCCCGAACCUGGGUAAACUGCCUUGUCCCAUUUACUCCCAGUUCAUCGAGCUAGGCCGUGGGUUCAGUGAGUAGGCGGACUGGGGAGGUUGUGUUCUUCACACGCACCCCAGAGUUCGAAUCUAUCCAGGGUCUGUGGAGCCCUGAAUCCGACAUUUGGCGCACCAGGUAGGGG